rfam:Oryza sativa (indica cultivar-group) chromosome 6, whole genome shotgun sequence.
UAUUAUUGUACUGUUUAUCUGCAAGUUUGACCAUUCAUCUUAUUUUAAAAAAAAUAUUACGACUAGUAUUUUUGUUUUUAUUAAUGAUAAAACAUAAAUAGUACUAAAUUUUUUUUAUUUUUUUAUAAAUUUUUCAAAUAAGACGGACUGUCAAACGUUGAACACGGAAAUCCAUAACUGCAUUGAAA